AAAGCGUGCGCAGGCGGCUUUGCAAGACAGAUGUGAAAUCCCCGGGCUCAACCUGGGAACUGCAUUUGUGACUGCAAGGCUAGAGUACGGUAGAGGGGGAUGGAAUUCCGCGUGUAGCAGUGAAAUGCGUAGAUAUGCGGAGGAACACCAAUGGCGAAGGCAAUCCCCUGGACCUGUACUGACGCUCAUGCACGAAAGCGUGGGGAGCAAACAGGAUUAGAUACCCGGGU
rnacentral:rRNA from 1 species